UAUAUUAAGCUUAUUUCAAAGAUUAAGCCAUGCAAAUCUAAGAACAAAUCGUACUCGCAAGGGUAUGAUAUUUCAUCUGUACACAGCUCCAUAAAUGAUUUAUAAGCGUCUCUAGUUGUGUAAUUUAUAAGGAUAACGCAACUAAAUGUAUCGAUAAUACUUGAGAAAUCAAUAUUAUUGCUAAGAGGAAUUUGUGAUAUUUUACUGGGGCAACCUGGUGAUUUACCAAUUGGACAAUUAGACGCAUUUAUCACCCAUCAAUUAGAUAACUGUUUCGAUAACAGCUAUGAUUAUUACGGGUACAGAGAAUCGGGGUUUGAUUCUGGAGAAGGAGCCUGAGAAAUAGCUACUAGUGCCAUGACAUGCAGCAGGCGCGAAAAUUACCCAAUGAUAAUAUCUUAUCGAGGUAGUGACAAGAAAUAAGCACUAUUCCUUAAUUAGGAAUAGGUACUGGUUUAUUUAUCGGUUUACAAUGGUUCCGUAUUAGACUUACGGGAGAGUAACAAUUGGAGGGAAAGUCAGAUGCCAGCAGCCGCGGUAAUAUCUGCUCCAUUAGUAUAAUAUAAUAUUGCUGCAGUUAAAACGUUCGUAGUCGCUGUAAUAAGAAUGAUGAGGUAGCCGACUUUGCUGAUCUAUGAUGAUUUUGGCUAACGCUGAGAUUGUUGUGGCUUAACGGGGGGUAGCAAUACUCUAUUGGCUUUGUCAUAGUGGAAUUAUAGUAUAGCUCUGUUCUUCGGGAUGGGGUGAGCUAUGAAACCAUGGUUAUUUUAUUGUUUUUAGAUUAAUCCUGUGAGCAAAUUAAUGCGAUCAAAGGAUGAUUAGUGAUAACUAUCUCGCAAGGGAUGGUUAUUGUGAUGUAACAUAGUUUAGCAUAGAACCCGCUAUUCCAGCUAUUGUUGUAGUUGGUAGAGGUUAUAAAGCCAGGAGCAAGUAACUCGUACUAAUUGACGAGGGGUGAAAUCCGUAUAGUCAAUUAAGACGUCCAAAGGCGAAAGCAAGUUACAGGUACUGGCUUGUUGAUGAGGAACGAGAGUUGGGGGAGCAAAGAUGAUUAGAUACCGUCGUAGUCCCAACUGUAAACUAUACAAAUUAGAGAUUGUAUAGAACCUAUUACUAGAUUUAUACAGUAUCCCAGAGAAAUCACAAAUUUUUGUGUUCUUGGGGUAGUAUAUUCGCAAGAACGAAACUUAAAGGAAUUGACGGAAAUUCACCACCAGGAGUGGAUUCUGCGGCUUAAUUUGACUCAACGCGUGGAAACUUACCAGAACAAGACUAUAGUAUGAUUGACAAGCUAAUGACUUUUCUUGAUUUGUAGAAUAGUGGUGCAUGGUCGUUUUCAGUUCGUGAAUUAGUUUGUCUACUUAAUUGUGAUAACGAGCGAGACCUCCGUAUUUAAUUAGCAACUUCUUAUUAAUAUUACUUUAAUGAGUAUCGUGUAGGUAGCAAUAUCUACAUACUUCUUAGAUAGACUAUAGGUGAUUAACAAACAAUCUAUGGAAGUUGGAGGCUAUAACAGAUCUGUAAUGCCCUUAUAUAUUCUGGGCGGCACGCGUAAUACAAUGUUUUUGCCAAUAAGAUCAUCAUGUUUAAACAUGAUCCAAACUAGAAAUCUUAAGGGAAACUUGGCAAUUAUAUAUUUCAUAGCUAGGAUUGAGGCUUGUAAGUUCCUCAUGAAUUAGGAAUUCCUAGUAAUCGUAAAUCAACAUUUUGCAAUGAUUACGUCCCUGAGUUUUGUACACACCGCCCGUCGCUCCUACCAAUUGAAUUGGUAGAUAAAAUAGUUGAAUUUAGUACGUAAGUACUGAAGAAGAUUCUUAAAUCUAUAAGUUUGUAGGAAGGAGAAGUCGUAACAAGGUAUUC
rnacentral:rRNA from 1 species